CGUAAUCACUUGUUCUUUAAAUGGGGACUAGUAUGAAUGGCACCACGAGGGUUAUACUGUCUCCUUUCUCUGAUCAGUGAAACUAAUCUCCCCGUGAAGAAGCGGGGAUACAGCUAUAAGACGAGAAGACCCUAUGGAGCUUUAAAUCUCUUUUCAAACGCUAAAAUACUUAUACAAGUCCCAGACUUACCCUCACACUUACCUAGCGCCAUGAAAAUGAUUUUAGGUUGGGGUGACCGCGGAGCACAAAAAAACCUCCACGCUGAACUAGACGUCCAAACCUUGAGCUAAGGGCUACGACCCGAUGCACUAAAAAAUUAACACCAAUUGACCCAAUAUUUAUUUGAUCAACGAACCAAGUUACCCUAGGGAUAACAGCGCAAUCCAUUUCAAGAGUCCAUAUCGACAAAUGGGUUUACGACCUCGAUGUUGGAUCAGGGUCUCCCAGUGGUGCAGCCGCUACUAAUGGUUCGUUUGUUCAACGAUUAAAACCCUA
rnacentral:rRNA from 1 species